GUACAAGGCUAAAUAGGGCCCUGGGAUGGGGCAUCUGUGGCAGGGAGGGGUGCAAAACCAAAGAGUUGGGAGUCUAGCCAACUCCUUGGUUUUGCACCCCUCCCUGUCACAGGUGCCUCAUCCCAGGGCCCCAUUUAGCCUUGUACU